rnacentral:rRNA from 1 species
CGGUACGUACUGGCAUUGUUGGUUUCUCCCUUCUGACGAACCAUGAUGUCAUUUAUUUGGUGUUGUGGGGAAUCGGGACUGUUACUUUGAAAAAAUUAGAGUGUUUAAAGCAGGCUCACGCUUGAAUACAUUAGCAUGGAAUAAUGAAAUAGGACGUUUGAUUCUAUUUUGUUGGUUUCUAGGAUCGACGUAAUGAUUAAUAGGGAUAGUUGGGGGCAUUAGUAUUCAAUUGUCAGAGGUGAAAUUCUUGGAUUUAUUGAAGACUAACUACUGCGAAAGCAUUUGCCAAGGAUGUUUUCAUUAAUCAAGAACGAAAGUUAGGGGAUCGAAGACGAUCACAUACCGUCGUAGUCUUAACCAUAAACUAUGCCGACUAGGGAUCGGAUGAUGUUAAUUUUUUAAUGACUCAUUCGGCGCCUUACC